CUGCCCAGUGAUUAUAACAAGACGCGUUAUUAUGAGGACCAGUGCUGGGACUCUUCCUACCUUUUCUCUCUGAUUUUUCUCCACUUUCUCUCAGAUCUUUUUUUUCUUGCUUUCCCAUCCUUCUUCCUGCCUUCUCUCUCCCUGGAGUCUCCAGUGUCUUAUGAACAAGAUUAUGAGAUAUGAGGGCAG